GACGAACGCUGGCGGCGUGCUUAACACAUGCAAGUCGAACGGAAAGGCGCGGCUCUUGUGGGGUGCUCGAGUGGCGAACGGGUGAGUAACACGUGAGUAACAUGCCCUUGACUUUGGGAUAACUUCAGGAAACUGGGGCGAAUACCGGAUAGGAGCUCCUGCUGCAUGGUGGGGGUUGGAAAGUUUCGGCGGUUGGGGCUGGACUCGCGGGUUAUGAGCUUGCUGGUGGGGUAGUGGCUUACAAAGGCUUUGACGGGUAGCCGGCCUGAGAGGGUGACCGGCCACCUUGGGACUGAGGUACGGCCCAGUAUCGUACGGGAGGCAGAAGUGGGGAAUAUUGCGCAGUGGGGGGGAGCCUGAUGUAGCAAUGCCGCGUGCGGGAUGACGGCCUUCGGGUGGUAAACCGAUUUGUAAUGUGACGAAGCGUGCGUGACGGUAAUUGGUAAGGAAGCACCGGCUAACUACGUG
rnacentral:rRNA from 1 species